CAGCCGCCGCGGUAAUACGUAGGUGGCAAGCGUUGUCCGGAAUUAUUGGGCGUAAAGCGCGCGCAGGCGGUUUCUUAAGUCUGAUGUGAAAGCCCCCGGCUUAACCGGGGAGGGUCAUUGGAAACUGGGAGACUUAGAGUGCAGAAGAGGAGAGUGGAAUUCCAUGUGUAGCGGUGAAAUGCGUAGAUAUAUGGAGGAACACCAGUGGCGAAGGUGACUCUCUGGUCUGUAACUGACGCUGAGGCGCGAAAGCGUGGGGAGCAAACAGGAUUAGAUACCCCAGUAGUCCCUGUCUCUUAUA
rnacentral:rRNA from 1 species